UACGUAGGGUGCAAGCGUUAUCCGGAAUUAUUGGGCGUAAAGAGCUCGUAGGCGGUCUGUCGCGUCUGCUGUGAAAACUCAGGGCUUAACCCUGAGCUUGCAGUGGGUACGGGCAGACUAGAGUGCGGUAGGGGAGACUGAAAUUCCUGGUGUAGCGGUGAAAUGCGCAGAUAUCAGGAGGAACACCGGUGGCGGAAGGCGGGUCUCUGGGCCGUAACUGACGC
rnacentral:rRNA from 1 species